CUAACCCCCUUCUUAGGCCACAACUGCAGCCGCUGGCUCCACCCAGCCCUGAAAACCUCUUCCUGACGUCAGGUUACACCCUUAAUUUUCACCUGUACUCUAAGGAAGGGGCCUCGUUUGCUGUUGCAUUAUGGGAACUGUAGUGUUCUUUUCCACGCAUGUUUAUGGGGUGGUGGUUUAUUCUGAAACGCUGUUUCUCUAGGGAUCCUGGAUGGCAGACGUGUAACUCGGCGUGACGAUGUGAUCAGAGAAACAUGGGCUCCCUGCUGUCUGCGUUUGGAAUUAACGUGAAGGAA